rnacentral:rRNA from 1 species
UACGGAGGGCACGAGCGUUGUUCGGAAUCAUUGGGCGUAAAGCGCGUGUAGGCGGCUUGGCAAGUCGGAUGUGAAAGCCCGGGGCUCAACCCCGGAAUUGCAUUCGAAACUGCUUGGCUAGAGUCUCGGAGAGGAGGGCGGAAUUCCCGGUGUAGAGGUGAAAUUCGUAGAUAUCGGGAGGAACACCAGUGGCGAAGGCGGCCCUCUGGACGAUGACUGACGCUGAGACGCGAAAGCGUGGGGAGCAAAC